rnacentral:misc_RNA from 1 species
AGAAUAAAUAGUUUGGAAAAUCAACGUAAGUGAUGUUGGUUUGGCAUUAAAAUCAUUUAAGUGGCAACAUUUUACAGAACAAGUAUCUAAGUAUAAAAAAUCUCAUGAUGUUUCUUAUGUUGAUAAUCAAAUUUAUGUACAUCUACUUGCUUCAUGUUGAGGAUUGAUACAUUCAUUGUUGUUUUAAGAUUGGAUGAGUUUUACCUACAAAGUUCAAAGAUAAAGAUAUGUAGCUAACCAUCUUGUUGAAGCUGUCUAGGGUAGAAGGCUGAAGAUAUUUAUUUGGCUUAAUCA